rnacentral:pre_miRNA from 1 species
GCAACGUUUGGACCGUUAGUCUAGCGAACAAAUUCACCCGUUCGGUGCAAGAUCUUCCUUUCGUCGU